CAAUUUAUCAUAUUACAUGCAAUUUCAGAAAUCAUGUUGCAGAAAAUGGCUUCUGAAAGGUGAGAGAAAGAGCUUGCCUUAUGGGCUGUUUCAAUAUCAAGUUAUCCACGUUGAGUAUGACACUUAAGUAUUAAAAGUAAGUACUCUGGCAUUUUAUUUCAGGUCGGACCUCAGCAACUACCAAAUCACAAAAUGUGCCUUUGUGAUUUGAUAGAAAUCAUGUUGCAGAAAAUACUGUUCAAGGGGCUGAGAAAGAGUCGAAGAAUAACUUAUACGCCGUUAUCAAUUCAUAAAUAAGUGUGUGAGCAACACAUCCUAGAAAAUGGACUCGCUCUUCCUCUUCAAUCAGAUAUCCACAUGCUAUGCAAGAGAUUAUUUCAAUAGCAUGUGUAAGUUUGUAACCCACAAUUAUACUUGUGUCGGGGAAUAAAAAUGUUGAAAUUUUAAAGUUUUCAAAUGCUUCAUGCAUGCUGGAUCCAUUCCUAGCUCUGUUAUUAAUUGUAGUGUAUGACCUAGUUCUUGAAAUUUGGCCGUGUUCAUGAAAGUUUUUGGGGGUUAUGCUCUAUAAAUUGACCCUCUUGCAUCCAUGAAUGGUAAUGACUUCUCCAUGUGAUAUUUGAACUGUAUUUUCUCCGUCAACUCAAUAGUCAAGUAAUCAACCUUAACCAUAUAUAUGCAUAACCACUUGGCCAUGGACCACGUGGUGAACCCACGCCCUUACCGUUGGCAAAAUCUGGAUCCGGAUACUAGAUCCGCAUUUACACUUAUACGUCCAAAUCCACAAGUUUUUUGCAGAUCCAGAUGCGGGUAAAGUUCGCAAUGGAUGCGAACGGAUACUCCAAAUAUGUGAAUCAGUAAAAAUUAAAAUUUAAUAAUUUAAUAUAUAAUUUUAAAAUAAACAAUUUACCUAAUAAUUAUCUAAUAAUAUCAAAUAAAAUUCAAUCAUAAUUUAACAAUUAACAAUUCAACAUGAAUAAGUAAAUAAAAUCCAACAACAUGAUAAAUCCACAAAUAAAAAUAUCACAAUAUAAAUCAAACAAAAAAUAACAUAAAUUCAAGCACACCACCAUUAAAAUCCGCAAAUAAAAACACUACAAAUCCAUGGAAAUUUCAAGCUUCGAAUCCAACAUAUGAUGCCGCCAUUUGGAGAGAAUGAAAAAUUAUUUCCUUGCUCCCCUUCGGCCAUGUUCAACUAAUCCCGAAACCUAAUUAAAGUAAUAUGCAAAGUGAGUUAGCAUAUGUGAAGAAAAAAAAUGAGAUCAAGCAUUUACAUUAUAUUGAAAAUUCAUGCAUUUAAUUAAAAUAAUUAAACAAAUCAGCAAAGAAAAUUAAGCAAAAUUAAAUUAAAUUAAAUCAGCAAGGAAAUUAAAUCAAGCCAGCAACAUUUUCUAGUUUUAACAUAUUUACAUUAGAUUAAACUCAUCAAAUACAAUCAAACAAUUAGCCACAAUACCAAAUUAUUAACCAAAAAAAAAGCAAUGUAAUUAAUAGAAACGUGCAGUAACAACUACCGACAAGAACAAGCCAAUCAGGCAAGGCUUCGAUGAUGGCAAGGUGUGCAACGUGCAGUGACAACAACGUGCUCAGGAUUGCUUCAACACGAGGCCAGGUGAGGCUGCGAGGAAGAUGGCGAUCGGUCGACAAUGUUACUAGCCCUUUGGUUUUGGGCAUUAGAGAUUUGAGGAUCAUGGUUGCUGGUGAGGUGAGCUACCAUGAGUCGGUGAGUGUGUGUGAAAUUUGAAUGCAUUAUUGUCUUAGGGUUAGGGAUUAGAUUUUUUUUUUAAAAUUUAAGUUAAUAAAUAUUUUAAUUCAAUUUUUAAUUUAAAAUACAAUUCAUCCGGAUUCGGAUAUCCAGUUUUCUAGAUGCAAGUGCAUCCAGAUCUGUGCGGAUUUUAAUUUUUCAAAUCUAGAUUUUUUUGCCAUCCCAACACGCCCUUACCAAAGUGAGGGCAUGGGUUCGAGUUCCUAAAAGGAACUCUAAUAUAAUUAUUAGUAUAAUUUUUAUAGUGUUAUAUAUAUGUGUGUGUGUGCGCGCGCGCGCGCAUGAUCAUUUGGCUUGAGCUAAGCCAAGAAGGCCAUGUUUCGAUGUUGGAUAAAAUGUGGGAUUAGACUAAUUUAAAGGAUAAAAAAAUUAGUCCAAUCCAGAGUUAUGUUUGGUUGUCAGGACUAAUAAAUUAGUCCGAAUUUUAGUCCAACAUUCAUAGGACUAUUAAUCCUCAUUUUCAUAUGGGUUUAGAUAGGACUAAAUAUUUGAUAGUUUAAAUUUGUUACUAAUGUCAAAAUUUUAUUCAAUAAUUCAUUUUUAACUUUUUUAAAAGUUAAUAUUAAAUCAAAAUUUUAAUUCAAUAAUUUAUUUUAACUAGUAUGUAAUAUAUUAAACAUAAAAAAUUAUUCAAUGUAUUUAAUUCCAAUAAUAUUAAAAUCUGAAUAUUAAAUUUAAUAAAUAGCAAUAUGAUUUAAAAAAUAAUAUAUGAUUUAAAUAGUUAUUUUAGCUUCAUUAAAUUAAAUUUAACAUAGUUUUGUUUGAUAUUAUACCAAACAAAAGACAAUACUAUAUAAUACAGUAUAAUCAAAUCAAAUCUAAUCUAAUCUUAUCUAAUUUUAGAGUUAAUCCAGUCCAAUUCGAUUUUCCAAACGUAGCCGAAGAGUUUACUGGUUACUGCUAUUAGCACAAACCUCUAACAAAUUCAAGAUCAAAAACUGACUUAGAGGGAAAGAGAUGCAUACUUUUGUAAAUGUUCGUAAUUUGAAAAGUUUCAUUUUUUAUCAUUGUUGUUAUCAAAAAGUUUUGAAGGCAAAGAGGGUUUCACACCUUCAGACUUAUCCAAUCCAAACAAAUUUCCUUCGGACUGAAAGAGACAUAUGCUUGCUUUUCCACGACUGAUCAAAGACGGAGAUGCUUUAUUCUGUUGCAAUAAUUUAAUCAUGACGUAAACCAAGCUACUUUUCUGAUAAAUAACUAAUUUCGGAGAUUUGUGCCUAAAUUUGUAAUGACAAUUUAAAAUAUAAUUAUAAAUGUGGUUGUCGUAUAAAUUUCAAAUUAAUAAUCAAUCAUCAACUCUAGCAAUGGAAAACAAAAAAUUAUAUGAUUUAUUGAUUGAUGGAUGAGAAAACUAUACAAUUCGUUACAACUUUAUUUUUGAACUUUACAAUUCAGAAAAUGAUUUUUCGAAGUUAAAUUUAUUGUAACUUACAUUUAAAAUUUUCAAUGUAAAAAUAAAUAACAAAACAAUGGAACUAAGUGGAUCAAUGGUUGAAUUUUAUUUAAUUGUAAAUUAAAGAGACUUCAAAAAAUAAUGUCUACUUAAUUAGAAAAAUUCUGGAUAAUUUUACUAAGACACGCUAAUUAUAAAUAAAACCUUGAGCUAAUGGCGGAUUUUAUUACCUCCUUGAAGUUAAAAUCACAAAGUUUAUUUCUCCUUAAUAAUUUGUAUAAAGAAAUAAAUAUUUAUAAAUAUAUCCUAAAUAUUAGUGAAUAAAAUAAAUUAGUAAGUAGUGAAGAAAGUAGACAGCUGGUCCUUUGAGCGGAAUUUUUCAAAAAUUCCAUAUUAAAUUUUCACUUAAGUUUUUUAUUUGCCUCCAAUAAAAUUUAUAAUUUUUUGUUCCUGUUGGCUUUAAAAAUUAACAAAAUAAUAGAUACAAAAUUACAUUUUAAUCAUCAAAACCAGCACAUUAAACCUAAAAUUGAGUAUAAACACCUCGAAAAUUUUCUAAAUAAAAUCUGCCCCCACCUCUGGCUCUUCCACCGUCUGCAUCAUCACAGUCCUUUCUGUUCAUCAGUGAAAUUAAAAUAACGAAAUUGCAGAGAAAGAGAAUGAAAGUAGUAGAAGAUUCUAGAAUUCCCCUUAUUCAAGUGACCUCAUAAUAAAUAAUCCGAUAAUGUUAGCGGUUUUUUCUUUUUAAUAAUUAAUAAUUUUUUAAUUAUUGCUAACCCCAUCUACACGUUUCUCAUUAUUUUUAUAAUUAACAAUUAUUCUAUAUAGUUUUAACUGUUAUUUUGUUGUCAUUUUAUAAAAAAUUUUAAAAUAAAUAUUAGGAAAAAUAUAAAGAAACUAAAUGCUGACAAAACUUGAUAAAAUAAACUAGAACAAUUUAUGAUUUCAGAGUAUGAAAUGUUAUAAUUUAUUUUAUUAGUCUUUUUUCAAAUUUUUUCAAUUUAAAUGUCAGCAUUUAAAUAUCAGUACUAAAAGGAGGAGGAGGAUGAUGGUGCUAAACCAAUAUUAUAAAAGUGUUCAGAAUCCAAUUCGAUCCGCUCAAUCCAUUUGAUCUAUAGAAAUUCGAUUUGUGGAUUAAUAGAUUAGAUUGAAAAUUUGAAAAUCCGCAGUUGGUAGAUUGGAUAUGCAUUUACUUCUGUACAUCUACAAAAAUCCGUGAAUCCAUAAAAUAAUAAAAAAUAUUUAUUUAAUUAAAAAAUUAAACUUGUAAAAAUGGCAUUAGUAUUUAUUAAUAAAUAAACAAGUUAAAAUAUCGUUAUAUUAACACCAUAUUAUAUCUUGUUCUAUAAUAAUAAAAAAUAAUUACAUAAACAAAUAUAGCUUCCUAAAUAGUUAAUUUUCAUGUACUAAUCUACGCAAAUGUGAUUUUUCUCUUUGGCGUGUUGUAUUUUGAAACUUUAAAUGUAUUAAACAAUUAAUUUAUUUAAAUCUUAUUUAAUUUUGAAUUUGAUUGGUAGUAAAAUGAUUUUUAUAUUAAUUUUUUUUUUCAUUUAGUUAGUUCGUGGAUUGGACAGAAUUAAAAAUUUUUAGUCCGCAAACCAAUCCGUAAAAUGAUGAAUUGUCUGUGGAUUGGAUCAAAUCUACAUCAAAUCUUCUGACAUAUGGAUUGAAUUUGGAUUGAAUUUUAUUAAUCCGUAUGUUGAAUUCGAUUAAAAUUUUAUAAUCCGUAAAAUUCGAUCCGCAAACAGUUCUAUCGAAUAAGAGGAUGGUGGUAGGGUCUCAAGACUCAAACUAUGCUAGUAAGAAGCUGAUGGCCUAAUACUUUUUACAAUUUUCCAUAUUAUUUUUGUCACUCUGUUCGUUGAGUGGCCUCCAAGAAAUUGAUUGUGAGAAUGUAGAGUUAACACCGUUGGAGAAACAACCAGAAGCUCUCUCACUGUAGCACAACGCGCAUGGGAACGUAGAGUUAACGCCUUCACUCUUUGAUUGUAUAAAUUGAGUAACAUGAUCACACUCGCACUCACUCUUUGGGUCUCCCAGAGCAAAUUGUUCCCAUCAAACCAGAGAGAGAGAUACCACUGUAACUGUUUUGAAUUACAUACUCUCAUUUUCCUUUGAACUUCCUUUUAUUGUUAUAAAAAAAAAAAUUCUGAAAUGGAGAGUGGGUACAAAUUCCAGCCAUCUAAUGAACUAAUCCUCCGUCUUCUCAAGGAGAAGAGGCUUAACCCCCGUUUCUCAUAUCAUCCUAUCAAGGAUAUUGAUCAUAUCUGCAGCCUUAAGCCAUGGGACUUACCAAGUACGUAUAUGUAAUUUUUUUUCUUUUCUUUUUCUUUCUAAGCUGUUGCACUGAAGAAUUUUUCCAAUUGAACUAACCGGUACGCGACAUAUACUUUUAUGAUGCAGCGGAAUCAAAAACUGAGUCUGAGGAUCAAGUUUUUUACUUUUUCUAUGAACCUCGUUACAAGUACAGGAACAGUAACCGGGUCGACAGAAGAACAGAAGCAGGGCAAUGGAAAAUUACCAGUAAAGAUUCCCAAAUCGAAGCUGGAAACGGCCUUACUGGUACCAAAAAGUUCUUGACUUUCUACUGCCGUGGUCCUGAUUCUAAGGUACCAGUUAAGACCGACUGGGGUAUGCAUGAGUACCAUAUCAAGAACGACGCCAGUUAUAAGGUAUGAGCCUAAUUUGUUUUUGUGACUCACUUGAAAGUUCAUUUCUUUUAUGCACUGUUAAAUCUUUGGAUGUAUAAUAAGGCUAGCUCUUCUUGAUGAUUGACGUGAUUAAUUGGUGAAGCAUGCCAGAUUAUUGUGUCUAUUGGAGAUAUAUAAUAGGAUUAGUUAACCGGACCGUCUUAAGGUGUACAUCUUUGUUGCCUAUUACUUAAACGUUAAUGGGUAGGAUCGUCGUAUCACGAUGAAAGAAAUUGUGACGGUAUUUAAAAUGCAACUACAAAUAAGUGUCCGAAAGCAUUUGCAUGACUUGAUGAAUGAAUCUGUUAUUGUUUGGUGAGUAGCAAUUCUGGCAGUGCUAACGAAUAUCUGAAAAUUAAUUGAUAGUGCUUUAUUCCUUAUUUUGGUUUUGCCUUUAAUUUAUGCAGAGGGAAUUUGUUGUGUGUUGCAUAAAACGAAAACGCAUUUAAAAAUAAUAAUUUAUUACUAUUAUUAUUUAAAAUUUAAAAAAGUAAUAAAAUUUGAGUUUAUAAUACUUAAUAUGUAUUCAAGUGAACGUUAAAAAAAUUUAAGUUAAAUAAAAUUUUUUGAGCUAAGCCCCCCCUCAUUUUAAUUUUUGGAUCCGCCACUGCCCACAGCAACGACCAAAUCACAAUUCGGGCAACUACCAAAUCACAAUUCAAUUUCUUGUCUGGGAAAUCAUGGUGAACAAAAGAUGUACUCUCUUGCGAAUAAUUAUCCACCUACUCAGUUACCAAGUGACCAUUUUAUUACUGCAAUAAAUUAUAGUGGAGAAGAUAGUGCCACAAACCCCCUGCCACCACCAAAUAGCGAUUUGGAGUGGCAGCUACCACUAGAUCAACCUAAUUUUGCAGAAAAUAAUUUUCAGGAGCAACUUCCGCCAAUUGGAGAACUGAACGCAUACGGUAGCUCCAAUUGGCAAAAUGAUGCCUCUUUUUCUGCAAUGCUGACACCAAUUUCUCAAGAAGAAAAAUUAAUGUAUUCUAAUAGUUCUUUUGAUAAUUGUGAUUUUUCUGAUUGUCAAAUUGACAGUGACGAGCAGGUAAAUUACCCCAUCGAUUCCCUAAGGGCUUUCCAGGAUGUAAACUCUCGUAAAGAAACUGGACAAACCCUUAUCCCUGACUUUAAUCCAUCAAAAUCAGAUGGAGAAGCUUCAGCUUAUGCAGAGGAUGGCAGUGAGACAAACACUUCUGACAACGUUGCAUGGGUGAAAGAACUGCUUGACAACGAUCAAUGUCUGCUAGUUGGAGAACUCAAGUCAUACGAUGGCCACAAUGGGCUAAAUGACGCCUCUUUUUCUGCAGUGCAGACGCCAAUUUCUCAAGAACAAGAAUUAAUAUUUUCUAAUAGUUCUUUUGAUAAUUGUCAUUUUUCUGGCAGUCAAAUUUACGGUGAUGAGCAGGUAAAUCACCCGAUCAAUUUCCCAAGGGCUUUUCCGGAUGAAAACUCUCGAAAAGAGACUGGACAAACCCUUACCCCUGACUUUAACCUAUCAAAGUCAGAUGGAGAAGCUUCAGCUGGUGCAGAGGAUAGCAGUGGCAGAAACACAGAUUACAACGAUGCAUGGAUAAAACAACUACUGGAGGAUUUUCCUUAAGUAGCAAAAUUUAAAACAACAAUCAAAUCUUCUUAGAAGUAAUAUUGUUAAAUUUACCAUAUCAUUAUGGGUGAUGAUACUUCACUCUGUUUUAUUGUACUCUGUGCUUUGUAAUCUUAAGUAGCACGUAAACAACUAUGAAUUCCUCUACGAGGAAAGUAAUUGUACUUUUAAGUAGCAUGUAAAGAACUAUGAAAAAUCCUCGUAGGAGAAAAGUUCUGUAAUCUUAAGUAGUAUGUAAACAAUUAUGAAAUCCUCUUAGGAGGAAAGUACUGUAAUCUUAAGCAGCAUGUGGACAAUUAUGAAAUCCUCUUAGGAGGAAAGUAUUGUAAUCUUAAGCAGAAUUAUAAACAACUAUGAAAUCCUCUUAGGAGGAUUAUUAUUGAUAAUGUGAUAUUGUCUAGUAAUCUUUGAGACUCGUUACAUACUAACGUAAUUGUUGUUUAGAUUGAUUGUAUACUCCAUUUGGUCUGUAUCCAGCAUCUCUGUGUAGCAUAAGGUCAAGAUAAUUGGUUUAAGUUUUUCUGUCCUUUAGUUCUUGCUGGGUUCGUAUUCGAUCAUAUGUGGAACACUGGAAUCUCACCAUCCAAUCCGAGCAAACUACUUCCUGGAAAAGGGUACAUGAUUGUGAAGGAGGAGGGAAAGUAACUUGCAACUGUAAAAUCAAAGAAGGAACCAAAGGAAAGUGGUGUCGCAUCGUGGGGUCUUAAGCUACUUGGGCAACGCGUCCAUUCUUUUAUUUUAUUUUUUUAUUUUUUGAAAAAUCAUAUUUAUCCAUUAUUUAUUGUUAGCAAAUAACUACGAAAGUUAAAGAAGUUUGGUCAGGAAUGCUGUGUUAUCAAUUAAUUUUCAAAUUUUCAGUUUGUAUUAGGAAUUAUGUUGUAUUAGAAAAAUAAAAUUUAUUUUUUAAUUUUGCGGUUAAUAUAUGUAGAAGAAUAUAUACUAAUACACAAUAUAAAUUUAAGAUGGAGAGAAGUAUAAAAUUCUAACAAAAUUUUCAAGUCCUUACCUCUUUCUCAUAAUUUUAAUAUGAGUGGUUAGUUAAAUAGAAUUGCUUAAAAUUUUUCAUUCUAACUUAGAGCACAGUUUCCAAGAAAUUGUUGCUAGAAACCAAAAAAAAAAAAAAAAAUCGGCUUCAGACUAGUUAACAUGUUUUCUGGUAGACUAAAGCACAUGCUAAUUGCCUAUCGGAUACUGCAUGUGCCAACAGUUCUUAGUGCACCAAAUUACCGCCAGCGGUGUGGAAAUAUGGCUGCAAUUCUUGAAAUUGGGAGAAUACGGAGGAGAAGUUUUUCCUUUUUAAUAUUUUAGCUUGUCUUUAAUUUUAAUAUGAUCAAGAUAAAUAAAUAAAUAACCAAUUAAAACUAUUAUUUUACCAAAAGUAAAUGGAGAUUCCUUUAUUUACUUAAAAAAAAACACUAAAGACAUAAAAAUAUAGAUUUAAUAUAGCAUAAUACUACAUUAGAGUAUGUACUUUUUAAUUUUUUUUAACUUAUUUCUAACUUUAAUGCAGUCAGUUCUUCGUGAUUGAGAUAUUAUUGUUAUUAUUAUUAUUAUUUUACACACACACACACACACAUAUAUAUAUAUAUCAUAUUUUUUAGUGUUAUUUUUGUUCUAUUAAAUUAUUUUUAAAUUUGUGUAGAAAUUCAUAUGUUUUUAACUGUUCUUGACGUUUUUAUUUUAAAAUAAUUUGUACUUAUUUAAUUAAAAUCUUAUUUUUUUCCUUUAAUAAAUUAUACAGUAAAUUAACUGUAAACUCAAAUAAAGAUAUUUUAUACUAUUAUUUAAAAAGUAAAAAUAAAAUAAGUUAUUAUUUAAAAAAUAAUGAUAAAAUAAAUAAUUACGUCAAAUUUCAGAGUUGAAAAGACCUUUUUUAUAUAAUUUUUAUUUUUAAGAAAGGUAAUUUUGAAAAGUAAUAAUAUAAAUUAAACUAAUUAUCACUACUCCAAAGGAGGAGACAGCGGAAGAAAAGUAUUAGACUGAGACAAAUAACAGCCUCUCCAAGAAGGAGACGCUCUAGUGGAAAGCUGACUGUACAAAGUUAACUGAUAAUUUCUGCACAAACAGGACAGGGAAGGGUGUUGAAAAAAAUUAAUUAAAAGCGCGAAUAAAAUUAGAAUCUGUCAAACGUUGUCGUUUUAGAAAAUCUUCUGAGUGAAUAUAAAUUAGUACUUAUAUAAAGCGGAUGAGGAAUAUGACGCUGAACCAGUAAGAGGAUGAUGGUGGGGUCUCAUGUCCCAAUAAGCUGAUACUAUAAAUUAAUUUCCCAUAUUUUCUGUCAUUUAAAUUCUGUCACUCGCUCAAUACUCGAUUCAACGCCGUUGGUGAAACAAGCAAAAGUUGUCUCACUGUCAGCACUACGCCGUGAGAAAUGUAGAGAGAUUAUCAUCCACUCACUCUUUCUCACAGGGCGAACUUUCUUCCCUUCAAACCAGAGAGAGAUGCCACUGUGACUGUAUUGAAUUAGAAAUAAUGAUGGAGAAAUCUUCGAGGUUAAUUUCAGAUCCUUACCAACUAUUGCAGUAGUAGUUAACAAAAAGAUUCUGAAAUGGAGAAUCUUUUGGGCUACAAAUUCCAGCCAUCCAACGAACAAAUCCUCUAUCUUCUGGUGGAGAAGAGGCUUAAUCCCCAUUUCUCACAUCACCCUAUCAAGGAUAUUGUUGAUAUCUGCAGCCUUGAGCCUUGGGACUUGGCAAGUAUGUAUAUCUAAUUUUUUUUCCCCUUCUCUUCUCUCUAACCUUCUGUACCUGUAGAUUUUACUAGCUGAACUAAUUGGCAUAAUAUUAUUUUUAUGAUGCAGCGGAAUCAAAAACAGAGUCCGAGGAUCAAGUUUGGUACUUCUUCUGUGAACCUUAUUAUAAGUACAGGAAGAGUAACCGUGCCCACAGAAGAACAAAAACAGGGCAUUGGAAAAUUACAAGUAGAGUUUCCCAAAUCGAAGCUAGAAACGGCCUUUCGGGUAUCAAAAAGAUUUUGACUUUCUACCGUCAUGGUCUUGCUUCUAAGGAAGCUAUUACCGAGUGGGUUAUGCAUGAGUACCAUGUGACGGACGACCCCAGAUAUAAGGUAUGAGCUUUGUUCUUUUGACGUGAGCUCUGUUUUAUGACUCUUAUUAUUAUAAUUAUGAACUUGUGCAUUCAUUGAAGCUCGAAUCAAGGUCCUGAGUCCUAAGAAACCAGCGCCUUACCAUUGGAGUUAGAUCUUGGCUUCGCAUGUUUUGUGAAUCUUACAAAAAUUUUAGUCUGGUAAAAUGCUGUGUAAUAAAAUAUAUGUUGAAUGCCAAUUAGUUGUUGGAGAUAUAAUAGGAUUAAUUAACCAGGCAAAGUCUUAAAAUUUUUUCACUUCUUUCGGUCUAGACAGUGGGCAGGAUGUCCAUUUAGAUUAUAUAUCUUUGUUGCCUAUUGCUAACCUGUUGUUUUGUUUCUUCUAGAAGUUUGCUGAUUAGUAAUCUAGCAUUGCUUAUGAAAAUUUGAAAAUUAAUUGAUAAUGCAGCAUUCCUGAUGGCGUUUUUGCCUUAAUUCAUGUAGAAGGAAUUUGUUUUCUCUCGCAUAGAGAGAAAACAGAAAAAGAAGAAGCAUGGUACUUCGACUACUGAUGAAGGUGAAUCAUGUAAACAAUUGGUUUCUCCACCUCAGCAAUCACCUAGUAACCAUUCGUUUUCUUAUAGAAAUCAUAGUGAAGAACAAACUCUCACCAACUCUGGCCAGCAACUACAAAAUCAAAUAUUUUCUUAUCCUGGAAAUCUUAUUCAACAAGAUACUAUCACAUACCCUCAGUCGAUAAACCCAGUGCUGCCACCAAAUAGCAAUUUGGAGUUGCAGGUACCACUAGAUCACCCUUCAGUAACACAUAAUUUUGCUGAAAAUGAUUUUCAGGGAGAAAAUCUUCCAAUUGGAGAGUUCAACUUGUACGGUGGCUACAAUAGGCUAAAUGAAGCCUUUUUUCCUGCAGUACAGAGACCAAUCUAUCAAGAACAAGAAUUAAUAUAUUCUAAUAGUUCUUUUGAUAGUUUUGACUUUCCUGAUUGUCUAAUUGAUAGUGAUGAGCAGGUAAAUUACCUGAUCAAUUCCUCAAGGGCUUUCCAGGAUGAAAACUCUUGCGAAGAGACUAGACAAACCCUUUUCCCUGGCUUUAACCCAUCAAAGUCAGAUGGAAAAGCUUCAGCUUGUGUAGUGAAUAGCAGUGACACAAACACUGCUUGCAGCAAUGCAUGGAUACAAGAACUGCUUGAGAAUUUUCUUAAGUAGCAAAUUUAAAAGUUUUAGCUUAUGCAGUGGAUAGCAGUGACACAAACACCGCGUAGAAAGAUUCAUGGGUAGAAAGUAGCAAGUUUUAAAGCUUCAGCUUGUGUAGUAGGUAGCAGUGACACAAACACACUUAGAAAUGGGAAUUUUGCUUAAGUAGCAAAUUUAGAAGGUUCAGGUUAUGCAGUAGAUAGCAGUGACACAAACAUGGCUUAGAAAUGAGGAUUUUGCUUAAGUAGCAAAUUUAAAAGCUUCAGCUUAUGCGGUAGAUAGAAGUGAAACAACCACUACUUAGAAAUGAGAAUUUUGCUUAGGUAGCAAAUUUAGAAGGUUCAGCUUAUGCAGUGGAGAGUAGUACCACAAACACUGCUUAGAAUGAUUCAUGGAUAGAAAAACUACUUGAGAAUUUUGCUUAAGUAUCAAAUUUAAAAGCUUCAGCUUAUGCAGUGGAUAGAAGUGACCCAAACACUACUUAGAAAUGAGAAUUUUGCUUAGGUAGCAAAUUUAAAAGAUUCAGCUUAUGCAGUGGAUAGGAAUGACACAAACAUUGCUUUGAACGAUUCGUGGAUAGAAGAACUACUUGAGAAUUUUGCUUAAGUAGCAAAUUUAAAAGUUUCAGCUUAUGCAGUAGAUAGAAGUGACAAAAGCACUGCUUAGAAAUGAGAAUUUUGCUUAAGUAGCAAAUUUAAAAAGAUUCAGCUUAUGCAGUGGAUAGCAGUGACAUGAAUGCUGCUUACAAGGAUGCAUGGAUAGAAGAAACAAUUUGAGGAUUUUGCUUGAGUAGCAAAUUUAAAAGGUUCAGCUUAUGCAGUGGAUAGAAGUGACACGAACACUGCUUACAAGGAUGCAUGGAUAGAAGAACUACUUGAGAGUUUUUCUUAAAUAGCAAAUUUAAAACGACAAUCAAAUCCUCUACGGGGUAAUAUUAUUAAUUUACUAUAUCUAUAUGGGUGAUAAUGCUUCACUCACCUUUUAUUGAAUUCUGAUCUCCUCAUAGGAGGAAACUACUGUAAUCUUAAGUAGCAUGUAAACAACUAUGUAAUCCUCUUAGGAGGAAAGUACUGUAAUGUUUAGUAGUAUGUAAAUAACUAUGAAAUUCUCUUAGAAGAAAAGUACUAUUAUUAUUGAUGAUAUGAUAUUGUCUGGUAAUCAUCUGUUGCUUUGUAAUAUAGAGCACUUGAAUUUUCAAUAGCAUGGCCUAGUUCUUGAAACUUGGAGCCUGUUUGAAUAGACAAAAAUGCUUGUUCCAAAAAGAGUACAAGCAGAGAUGUGAAUGGUUCAUGUACGUGACAUCCAUCAAUUAUUGAACAGUAUGAACUCAUCACGAAUCUUUGUGUUAAACUUUUUUCAUCAUAAAUAUAAGGAGACUCCAAAUUUCUGAAAAAACCCUUAUUGAUAAGUUUAUAUAAUCAUAUUAAAUGAAACUAGAUAUACUCCUCUUUAGGGUUCGGGGCUUUUCAAGAUUACCACAGGCUCAUAUUAUUAACUAAUAACUAUUUUCAACUUCUGUGAGAUAAUAAAUUUUGGAUUUUAAUUUAUUUAUAGAACUGUAACAAAGAUUUAAAAAAGAAAAUAAUACAGGUGAGAAAAUAGUAGUUGUUUACUAAUUAUAACAUAUGCGUAUCAUCUAUGCAUGUGAUCCCUUAUGCUAUUAUUGUAAUUAAUAUAAUUUUCAAUACCUUUAUGAUUUGAGGCUUUCAGCCCUUCCCUUCCCUUGAUUGUUAUUUUAUGAAAAAUAACAAGCAACAAAGUAAUCGUGUUAGAUGUCCAUUGUGGCAUAUUAGACUUUAGUUGUUAUAAAUUUUUUGUUCUUUGUUUCAUGUAUAAACGUACAUUUUACAUCACGUCUUACAUAUUUGAAAUUCGGUCUUUCAUGUUCUAAAUGCCUGCAAGAAUUUUCUUCUUUUCUUAGUUUAACAUUUUACAUAUUUAAUAUUCUUUUACAUCACGUCUUAUAUUUAUGCCGUAAUCAUGUUAGAUAUAUGUUGUUGCAUUUGUACAUUUGGCGUUAAUUAUUUAUAAAUGUUAAGUUUCAUAUUUAUGUCACUUUGGUGCGUGUUUGAAAUUUGGUGUUUCCAUGUUUCAAUUGCCUCCGAAAAUUAAAUAUGUUUUUGGUUUCAAAUCUGAUGUUCCAAUUUCAUAUGUAACAUUUAUUGCACAUAUAUUGAGUUAAAUGUUGUAGGUUUAUAUCGCAAUCAUUCUAUUGUUGUAUAUUUGACUUUAAUUGUUUACAUUUUUUUUUACUGAAAUAUUCUUCUGCUUUGUCUUCUAUAAAAAGCAAUCUAUCUAUAUCUAUAUAUAUAUAUAAAGCUAGGACUUGAGGAGGUGAUGUGGCAUCACCAUUUUGCUUCUUUGUAUAUUCUUUAUUAUUUAAUAAAUAGAGAUUUUUUAAAAAAAAUUUGGCUUUUCAUCUUCUCAUAAUUAAUUUGAUUGUAUUUAACUCAUUUAAUAAAUAGUAACUUUAUUAAUAUAUACCAUUUCUCAUCUUUUUAUAUUUUCUAUUAUCUAACAUAUCUAAAAUAUUGGUGGAUAUUCUUUGUACUUUUUUUUUUCUCUUUCUAUUUAAAUUCAACAAUAUGUAAUCAUUAAUCUAUCUAUCUAUCUAUAUCUAUAUCUAUAUCUAUAUCUAUAUAUCUAUAUAUCUAUAUAUCUAUAUAUCUAUAUAUAUAUAUAAAAUUGGGACUUGAGGAGGUGAUGUGGCAUCACCAUUUCACUUCUUUGUAUAUUCUCUAUUAUCUAAUAAAUAGAGAUUUUUUUUUUUAGAUUUUUCUUCCUCUUUCUAUUUAAAUCCAACAAUAUGUAACCAUUAGUAAUAGUUAAUUAUAAGUCUUUUGAAACAUUCAUUUGUUUUAUUAUGCUAGCAAUUAAACUUUAGUGGCUUAAAAUACAUGAAUUAAUUAACAUAGGAAAAGAGUUUCUUUCAUCUUCCCUUAAUGCCAUAAUCACAUAUUUAAUUAUGCAACCUUUUGUUUAGUGUCUUUUGGCUUCUUCAAAAUUUAUUAUGCUAUAAAUUAAACUUUAGUGCCUUAAAAUACAUCACCUAAUUAACAUAGGAAGAGAGGUUCUUUCAUCUUCCCUCAACCUCAUCUUUUUAUAUUCUCUAUUAUCUAAAAUAUCUAAAAUAUUGGUGGAUAUUCUUUGUACUCUUUCUAUUUAAAUUCAACAAUAUGUAAUCAUUAAUAAUAAUUAAUUAUAAAGUUUUGAAACAUUCAUUUAUUUUAUUAAGCCAACAACUAAAUUUUAGUGGUUUAAAAUACAUCAACUAAUUAAUAUAGGAAGGAAGGUUCCUUCAUCUGCUGUACCGUACAUCCGNNNNNNNNNNNNNNNNNNNNNNNNNNNNNNNNNNNNNNNNNNNNNNNNNNNNNNNNNNNNNNNNNNNNNNNNNNNNNNNNNNNNNNNNNNNNNNNNNNNNNNNNNNNNNNNNNNNNNNNNNNNNNNNNNNNNNNNNNNNNNNNNNNNNNNNNNNNNNNNNNNNNNNNNNNNNNNNNNNNNNNNNNNNNNNNNNNNNNNNNNNNNNNNNNNNNNNNNNNNNNNNNNNNNNNNNNNNNNNNNNNNNNNNNCUUCAAAUUUUAUUAUGCUAGCAAUUAAACUUUAGUGGCUUAAAAUACAUGAAUUUAUUAAUAUAGGAAAAGAGAUUUUUUCAUCUUCCCUCAAUAAUGCCACUAGGGUCUAAUUUCAAUGUCAUAAUCAUAUAUUUAAUUAUGGAACCUUUUGUUGAGUGUCUUUUGGCUCCUUCAAAUUUUAUUAUGCUAGCAAUUAAACUUUAAUCUCUUAAAAUACAUCAAUAAAUUAACAUAGGAAGAGAGGUUCUUUCAUCUUCCCUCAACAAUGCCACUAGAGCCUAAUUUUAAUGACAUUAUCUCAUAUUUAAUUAUGCAACCUUUUGUUUAGUGCCUUUUGGCUUCUUCAAGCUCUCUAAACACUAAAUAUUUAAGAUUUGUUAUGUUUAGGGUUUUUUUAUUUAUUUAGUCAACACCCUCUUUAGAAAAAUACUUAUAUUUUUAUUGUUUGGCUUAUUUGAAUUUUUGAUAUUGUGUGCUUCAUGGAGUACUUUUUUCUUCAUGAGUUGAACAAUGAUAAAGAUAGUUGGAUGAUAAGGGUUAGGCUUUGUAGGAUGUGGGAGUCUACUAAUACUAAAAAAAAUGGAGAAUUGAUUAGUGUUGAUAUGAUUUUUAUUGAUGAAAAGGUUGUAUAAAAAAUUUAUUCUCUCAUUGUUUUCUCUAAUUUUUUUUCCCAAUUGUUUCACACUGAAUGUAGUAUGUGUUUUUUUUUUCGUAGGAAAAUCUCAUGCAUGCAACAAUCAGGAAAACCUUAGUGACAAGGUUUAAGCACAUGUUGAGUGAGGGUUCUUUGUACAAUGUCAAGAAUUUGAAAGUUGUUUCAACAACAGACGAGUACAGACCACUUUCAAAUCAGUAUAAAAUUAUUUUUCUUGAUUAUAACUUCUCUUAAGAUGUUAGAAGGAACUGUCAAGAUUUCGAUCAAUGGAUUCCAAUUCAUAUCUCCGAAUUUGAUUGAUUUACGUGUGAAUGAUAACACAAUCCUCUCAGGUAUUUUUUUAAUUAUUAAUGUUUGUUAAUCUUUAAGUGUAUAUUAGAAAUUAUUAAUCCUUAUGUUUUAACAUGUUUAUGUUAUUUUUCCAUAAUAUUACAGAUGUUAUUGGAAGUUUAUGUGGUGUGGGUGAUAUUGAGAUCGUUGGAGCUGGUUGGAAAAAAAGAGAUAUAAAAAUUCUAACGGAUUAGUAAGUUGAAUAUAAUCAAGAAAACUAUGACUUUAUAUUUUUUAGUUAUUUAUGUUAUUUUUUAGUUAUUGGUUCUCUUUACAUUAUUAAUUUUUGUUAAUUUUUAUGGAUAGCUCGGUAACAAUAAAGAUUAUUUUAUGGGGAAAGUUAAGGGAGAUGUUUGAUCCAAACUUGUACAAGAAAGACGAGGGUCCUUGUAUUGUGAUAGUUCCUUCUACAACCAUUAACAUUUUCAAAUGCAAUGUGGCUAUUUUAAUAUUAUACACAAAUUUAGAUUUUGUUCAAGUUUCGUUUUACGUUACAUUUGCUCUAAACAGGUGAGGUUAAUUUCUCUACCACAAGUGCAAGCAAAAUCUAUAUAAAUCUUCAAAUAGAUUAUGUAGCAUCAUUAAUUGAAAGAUUUUCCACCGUCUCCAACGUUGUGCAAGUUAUUGAAAGUUCGAAUGUGAAUAAGAUUACUUUUGAGGAAGAGAUGUUCCUUAACAGNNNNNNNNNNNNNNNNNNNNNNNNNNNNNNNNNNNNNNNNNNNNNNNNNNNNNNNNNNNNNNNNNNNNNNNNNNNNNNNNNNNNNNNNNNNNNNNNNNNNNNNNNNNNNNNNNNNNNNNNNNNNNNNNNNNNNNNNNNNNNNNNNNNNNNNNNNNNNNNNNNNNNNNNNNNNNNNNNNNNNNNNNNNNNNNNNNNNNNNNNNNNNNNNNNNNNNNNNNNNNNNNNNNNNNNNNNNNNNNNNNNNNNNNNNNNNNNNNNNNNNNNNNNNNNNNNNNNNNNNNNNNNNNNNNNNNNNNNNNNNNNNNNNNNNNNNNNNNNNNNNNNNNNNNNNNNNNNNNNNNNNNNNNNNNNNNNNNNNNNNNNNNNNNNNNNNNNNNNNNNNNNNNNNNNNNNNNNNNNNNNNNNNNNNNNNNNNNNNNNNNNNNNNNNNNNNNNNNNNNNNNNNNNNNNNNNNNNNNNNNNNNNNNNNNNNNNNNNNNNNNNNNNNNNNNNNNNNNNNNNNNNNNNNNNNNNNNNNNNNNNNNNNNNNNNNNNNNNNNNNNNNNNNNNNNNNNNNNNNNNNNNNNNNNNNNNNNNNNNNNNNNNNNNNNNNNNNNNNNNNNNNNNNNNNNNNNNNNNNNNNNNNNNNNNNNNNNNNNNNNNNNNNNNNNNNNNNNNNNNNNNNNNNNNNNNNNNNNNNNNNNNNNNNNNNNNNNNNNNNNNNNNNNNNNNNNNNNNNNNNNNNNNNNNNNNNNNNNNNNNNNNNNNNNNNNNNNNNNNNNNNNNNNNNNNNNNNNNNNNNNNNNNNNNNNNNNNNNNNNNNNNNNNNNNNNNNNNNNNNNNNNNNNNNNNNNNNNNNNNNNNNNNNNNNNNNNNNNNNNNNNNNNNNNNNNNNNNNNNNNNNNNNNNNNNNNNNNNNNNNNNNNNNNNNNNNNNNNNNNNNNNNNNNNNNNNNNNNNNNNNNNNNNNNNNNNNNNNNNNNNNNNNNNNNNNNNNNNNNNNNNNNNNNNNNNNNNNNNNNNNNNNNNNNNNNNNNNNNNNNNNNNNNNNNNNNNNNNNNNNNNNNNNNNNNNNNNNNNNNNNNNNNNNNNNNNNNNNNNNNNNNNNNNNNNNNNNNNNNNNNNNNNNNNNNNNNNNNNNNNNNNNNNNNNNNNNNNNNNNNNNAUUUUGUUUACAAACUGAAAUUGAAUGAUUACAAUUUGAAAGAGGGACUUGAGAAUUUUACUGUGUCAAAACUUUUCACCCCUGAUGAGAAAUUGGAGCUCGAACAAGAAUUGAAGAAGGUAUUAUCUACCUAUGCUAGGUUCACUUUGUAGGCAAUAUAUGUAAUGUUAAAAAAAAUAUUUAAUUGUUGUUUUUUGUAGGAAAAAAACAAUACAGAUCAUGAAAAUGUGGAAAUAUAUGAAAGAAAGGAAGGACAUUCCCAAGAAAUGGUAAUUUUAUUUACUCUUAUUUCCCAGUUGUUUUCCUUUAUGAUUAAAAUUAGCAUGUUCAGUUUACUUAUAAUUUUAAUUUCCUUGAUAAAAAAAUUACAGGAUCCUCAUGAUAUCUUAUCAAAUAAUUUGGAAGAUUCUGUGGGAGAUUUUCAUGGUACUAAUGCCGGUAGGAAUAGAAAGAAAAAAAACCAAAUUACUGAUGAUGAUGAAGUUAGUGAUGGUGGAAGUAAUCAAUACACAAAACAUGUUUAGUAUUGUUGUUGGUCGUCUUUUUACAUGUGUGUUAGUCUUUUGACCUUUUUUUCUUUUUAGAGUGGUAAUAUUUAAGUGUGAUAUGAUAUGUCUUAUUUUUCUGGCUAUGUAUGUAUUUGUUUUGAACGAUUGAAAGAACUUUAUUUUCUUGUGUUAUAUUUCUUUCUUGGCAUCUUGCUCCGUUCUAUAGAUGAAUGUAGAUAAUAAAUUGGUAGUGACAAUGCAAAAAAAAAAAAAAGGCUUAUCAUCAUCAACAAGAGUGAUAGCAACAAAAAGAAACGCUAGACGCAAAUAAUUGGAUUAAUCCCUACACUUCACUUGCGAUAAAAUAUAAAUUUAAUUUUUGUUACUUUGAGUUUCAUACUUUCAAUCACUGAAAUCUGAAAAAUGAAACCCAAAGAUCUAAUCCGAACGCUCAAGAUUGAGAUCAAUAAGUUAAAAAUAAUAGUUAUAUGUUAUACCACUUAAUGUUUCUAAUUCAUUGAUUGAUAUUGUGAAUAAUCUCUUGGGUAAAUUUUGAAUUAUUCCAAAUUGAUUAUUUUUAAAUUACUUUAUUAUUUUUUAAAACUUCAAGUUAUUUUUAUUUUUGCUUAAAAAAUGAGGUGAGAGAGGUAAUUUACAUUUUUUAAAUUAUUUUAAUUACGAAUAUUUUUUAAAUUAUUUUCCUUACUAACAUUAUUUUAAUAUGAUUAGUCUACUGAACAAAUGAAACUAUUCAUCUUAUAUUUGUAUUUAUUGAAAAUUUUUAAAUUUCAAUUUUUUUUUAACUCUUAAGAGAAGAAACCCUCCCUAAAUUCUCUAUCUUCGAUCACAAUUUUGAAUGACACAUAUUUAUAGUUUAAUAAUUGAAAGGUGUUUUAUUAGUGAUUGUAAAAGAGAUUGAGACUUAUUUGAUGCAAAUAGACAAUAUAUGUUUAUAAAACAUUAAAAGGAAAAAGCAAUGGAUCCAAUUAUUAUCACCCUGAAAAGAAAGCACAUUGUUUCAAAUCUUCACAAACUACAAAAUACAAAAAUGGACUGUUUAUUUUUUCACGUCAUAACAUAUAAUUUAAUUAAUAUAGGAAUGAAGGUUCUUUUAUCUUCCCUCAACAAUGCCACUACCAAGGCCUAAUUUUANNNNNNNNNNNNNNNNNNNNNNNNNNNNNNNNNNNNNNNNNNNNNNNNNNNNNNNNNNNNUGUAUUCAAGAAUAAAAAAGUUAAGAAAAGAUGAUAACGUAUAAAAUCUAAAAAUAGCAUUGAAAAAGAGCCAAAAGGAAAUCUAGAUAAUAAUAAUAUCAAUGUCCCUAUAUUUUAUCAAAUAAGGAUAUUGUUUAUCAAUUUAUAUCAAAUAGGCUCCUAACCGAGAUUGAAUAAAGAUUCAAUGUUGAUCUAAUUUUUGUGAUGAAUUUUAUAAAGGUUUGUCGUUUGAUUAAUAGUUUUUAAAUAACAAUAUAGAUACAACUAAAUUUUAAUAUUAUAUUGUUAUAAAUAUACACAUAUCAAAAAAUAAAUAAAAAAAGAUUAACACUUAAUCUAGAUUCAACAAAAUUGGAUUUUGAAUGACACAUACUUAUAGUUUAAUAAUUGAAAGGUGUUUUAUUAGUGAUUGUAAAAGAGAUUGGGACUUAUUUGAUGCAAAUAGACAAUAUAUGUUUAUAAAACAUUAAAAGGAAAAAGCAAUGGAUCCAAUUAUUAUCAGUCUGAAAAGAAAGCACAUUGUUUCAAAUCUUCACAAACUACAAAAUACAAAAAUGGACUGUUUAUUUUUUCACGUCAUAACAUAUAAUGUAAUUAAUAUAAGAAUGAAGGUUCUUUUAUCUUCCCUCAAUAAUGCCACUACCAAGGCCUAAUUUUAAUGCCAUAAUCUCAUAUUUAAUUAUACAACAUUUGUAUCUACUUUUUAUUUAUAGAUAAGUCUUAGUGAAUAAUUAAUUUUCGUCUUAAAUCUAAUUAACAUUAAUUUAAAGAAUUGAAACUUAAGACGGUUCCUUUAGCAAAUGUUAAUUGCUAACAACAAGUUUAACAUUUGUUAAGUGUUUAAUUGCAACCCAUUAACGGUUUUGACAAUGAUUGAGGUUUAAAAGAAAUAAAGAAAGAAAUGGGGAGACGUCGUAUUAAAUUGGUUUUAUUAUCAACAAUUAAUUAAUCAUUAUAUCAUUUUCAAUUAAUUAGAAAAUGUUUAGACUCACGAGAGCCUGAGGUAAUAGCAACAUUAUCGACUAAUGAUAGUCUUGAAGAUGAGAAAGACGCAAAUUGCUAUAAAACACAUCAUUUGCGUACCAAUUUCACCCAAUAAUUGAAAAUUGACAAAUUUCUCCUAAAAUUUAAACCUAGAUAAAAGAAAUAAUAAGAAAACAAUAGUUAAUCUUGGAAAGGUUUAAACAAUUUUGACACAUUAAGCUUAUAAAUCAACUAUGUGUAACUUAAAUAACAUUAGUUUCAUCCAUGUCUCUUAAUUAAUUAUAAGCCUUGACUACAAGAGGUGAUGUGGCAUCACUAUUUUACAUCUUCUUAUAUUCUCUAUUAUCUAAUAUAUUAGUUGAGAUUAAAACAUAAUUACAUUAUAAAAUAUUAAAAAUAUAAUAUAAUUAUUAGGUUACAAAAGAUUACAUGUCUUUUCCUCUUCCUAUUUAAAUUCAACAAGUCUUGAAACAUUCAUUUAUUUUAUUAUGCCAACAAUUAAACUUUAAUGGCUUUAAAAAGCAUCAAUUAAUUAAUAUAGAAAGGAAGGUUCCUUCAUCUUCCCUCAACAAUACCACUAAGGCUUAAUUUUAAUGUCAUAAUUUCAUAUUUAAUUAUGCAACCUUUUGUUUAGUGCUUUUUGGCUUCUUCAAAUUCUAUAAAUAUUAAGUAUUUAAGAUUUGUGGCAUCAUUAUUUCUCAUCUCUUUAUAUUUUCUAAUAUCUAAUAUAUUAGCUUAAAUUAAAAAAUAAUUACAUUACAAAAUAUUAAAAAUAGAAAAUAAAUAGAAAAUGAUUAUUAGAUUACAAAAGAUUACAUGUCUUUUCCUAUUUCUAUUUAAAUUCAACAAUAUAUAACCAUUAAUAAUAAUUAAUUAUAAGUCUUGAAACAUUCAUUUAUUUUAUUAAGCCAACAAUUAAACUUUAGUGGCUUAAAAUAUAUCAACUAAUUAAUAUAGGAAGGAAUUCUUUCAUCUUCCCUCACCAAUGCCAUUACUAGGGUUUAAUUUUAAUUGCAUAAUCUCAUAUUUAAUAUGCAACCUUUUAUAUUCGUUUUUUUAAAAUAUGAUAAGCCUUAGUGAAUAAUUAAUCUUCAAUGUCAAAUCUAAUUAACAUUAAUUUAAAGAAUUGAAACUUAAGACGGUUUCUUUAGCAAAUGUUAAGUGCUAACAAAUUUUAGAUUUAUUAACAUCCAUGGAACUAGCUGAGAAGGUCCACUACUCUACUAUUUCAAUUGAUCAAUAAUGAAAAUCAAAACCCUUUGAUUUUUGCCCAAACUACUUCUUCUUCUUCAUAUUUUCUCCGCCAAAACCAGGUAAUGUUAAUAAACUCAACUAUAUAUAUUGAUUUACGUUUUUUUUUUCAAUGCAUGCUUUGAAAGCUUAGACCCGUUUAAGAAUUAUUAGUAGACACAUGUUUUAUCAGUGUCAUCUUAGGAUGACAAGAGGAUCAUAUGUCUAUUAAUAAUUCUUGAAUUGUCCCAACUUGGACAGUUUGGGAAUGCAUAAUUUUUUUUAGUUCCAAGUAGGUGAAGUUUUGUUUCACAUAAAAGGAAAUUUCGAUAGCUGCUCCUCAUGUUCUCUGGGUACAUACUAGAUGAAUGCAUAAAUCUAGGUCGUGUACUUGGAGAACUAUGGGGAGAUACUGUCGAAAUUUCUGUAAAUGUGGAAGAAACUUCACCUACUAGGAACUGAAAAAAAUUGUUCAUUCUUGAAUGGGAUUUAUAGGACCACCUACCAUUUGUAAAUGUGAAGAGAAUGUUGGAAAUUAGGGAAGCGAAGAGUUGAGUUGGUAAAUGUAAUUGGUUCUGGUUUUGCUGAGUUGAGUUGAGUUGCUAAAGAAACCAUUAUUGGCUGUUAACAAUCACAGAUUCUCAUCAAACAUUUAGUUGAAUAUGUCAAACACACAGACUAUCAUGCUUUAAUUUCUUUAGAGUAUGACAUGUUUGAAGUUUGAUUAUUGAUUCCAAUUAGGCUAUAUAUAUUUAUAUUUUGGUAUUUUAGAAAUUAAACAAAUAUUUUUAUGAUCAAUAAUAGCUACUGAUGAUCAAGCUUAAUUAAUUGUGAGCUACUGCAAAUCAAUUAAAAAGCUGAUCACCAAGUUCAAGUUACUAUGGUAGUAAUUUAUAAGAGUGAAAGUGUUGGCUCCUGUGUUUAAAGAUGUUUAAAGAAUAAAACAAUGUGUGGAUUAAUUAUUUGAAAAUUAAUGUGUACGUAAUCAAAUUUGAUCAUCUCAAUUUCUUUGGAUCAAUUUAAUUUGAUGUCAAUUUGUCAAUGCGUUCUAUUUGUUUAUCCUUAUCAAAUAAGUUUACUCGAUUUCAUUAUUAUGAAAACUUAGUUUUAAACAUAAUAUGUUGUUCUUAUUUUCAUUAACACCGGAUUACUUUGUUUUAACAGAUUACUGCUCACUUGUCUUUACAAUUGUUGCUAUCUACUUGUUUGCGAAAAAGCAUAAGGUAAGAAAGAAAAAUCUUUGAAUAAUCUUUGGUUGUCUAAUUUAUGCGAUUUACACGUGGAGGUAUUGAAGAUUUUCACUUUAAUUUUUCAAUGCAAACUUUGAAAGCUUAGACCUGUUUAAGAAUUAUUAGUAGACACAUGUUUUAGCUCGUGUUUAUAUUUAUUGACUAAUUAAUCUCUGGUGUAGUUUUAUUUAAUUGUUAUAUAAUUCGCAUGCAGGAGGUACAAUUAAAAGAGGCGGAUCUUUUCUGAAUGUGAACUAGCUAUAUUUGACUCGGAGGAUCCAGUAUCAAUCUGGAUAUUUGAUGUUUUGUGGAAAUAAACAGAUAGAAAAGGUUUAACUAAACGCUUAAGUUGUUCUCGACUGCAUUGUACAAUGUACUUGACUAUUGAGUGAUAGAUUUUGCCUGUGUGAUUGGAACAAUGCUAAUGAUUCUAAUAUUUAGUCCUAAUCGAUGUGGUACAUAUCUUUUAAAUGAUAAAAUAAUAAUUUUAUGAAACUAUCCAACUGCUUUUCUAACCUUCAAUUUUUGGUUUGAAUUGAAUUUUAUGAAAUUCGAUAAAGUAAACAGAAAAAUUAAUGCCUUCCAUUUGCAAGCAUUUCUAUUAGAAGUACAAAAUAGCAAACUUCGAAAUGUCUUAAUUCAAUAUCAUUAAUUAGACUAUUGACUUCUAAAAAAAUGCAAAAAAUAAUUAUGAACAAACAAUUAUUUCACAAUACAUGUGUGCAACAUUAUUAAUUCUUAUGCAAACAAAAAAAAUUAAUUGAUUAAUAACUAUUAACUCUUUGUGAGUGAACAAAGAUAGAGACAAAGAGUGGAAAAAACAUAUCAUUUUUACAGUUCACCAAAUGGGGAAGUUGGAAAAAAAGAUAUAAAAUGUUUUAACAGAUUAAUAAGUCGAAUAUAAUCAAGAAAACUAUGACUAUAUAUUUUUUAAUUAUUGUUUUAUCAUAAGAAUUGAUCGACAAAUUGACUUCACUAAUUUUAUUAAUUCUUUCCUAAUUUUUAAUUUUCUUUUUCACUAAAUACAUCCAAUAUUUGUUGAAGAAAAACAGUUAAAGUAAAAUGAAAAAGGAUAUAGCCCUUAGAGAUUAUUCAAUGUAUUCACAAGAAAAAUUAAUUAGAAAAUAUGUUCUAGGCAGCCCAAGCAUCUUCUCCCAAACACAGUAGAAUAAACAACAGUACUUGGCAGUUAGCAUAAUUAAUAAAAGAAAAAAUUUAUGAAAAUCACUCUAAAUCCAAAUGGAAUGUAGAAUGAACAACCUCAAUUCCUUGAAUUAUUGCCUAAUUAUUUGUUCUAAUCCUUAAGAAAAACAUUUUUUCCUUUUCCUCACACCUCACCUCUUCAUAAACACAAAUAAAAAAGUCAAGUGGUAAUAUUCAUAUUGAAAUAGGGAAUAAUAAUAUUGGUGAUUUAGAAUUAAAAAAGUAACCAAUUGUAUAAUAACGUAAUUCCAAACUUUCGAAUUUAAUGAUAAUAUGAUAUCCUUAUAAUGAGUUUUUCUCUUUACAUUAUUCACUUGUGGCAAUUUUUAUGGAUAGCUUGGUGAUAUCAAAGAUUACUUUAUGAAAAAAGUUGGGGGAGAUGUUUGAUCGAAAUUUGUACAACACAGAUGAUAGUCCGUGUAUUGUAAUAUUAACUCCUACAACCAUUAAAAAAUUCCAAGGUGAUUAUUUAUUUAGAUCCCACUAAUUGACAUUUUCAAAUGCAAUGUGGCUACCUUAAUAUUAUACAUAAAUUCAGAUUUUGUUCAAGUUUUGUUUUAGUUCAUAUUUACUCAAAAUUAAUUGCCUUUAAAUUUACAUUAGAACUGUUAAAGUGGAUAUUUGUUGACUGUCUAUAUUAAUUUAAGGUAUCGUAAUUAGACCUAAAAUCAAUCAAACUUAGAAGUUUGUUCCGAAAAAAUGUGUUAACGUUGUUUCUAAAUACACAAUUAUGGAAACAAUUCAUAAUUAUUUAUCGGUUUGAAAAUAACAAAAACAUUACAUUAAUGAUUAUUUUGCAUGGAUUGAUUUGAUAAUAUCACAACUGAAAAAGCUCACAAUUUACCCACCAAAUUCGAAGAAUAAUAACCUAAUAAAGAAGUAAUCUAAAAGCCUCUGUUCGUGGCUAUAAGCACAACAAAAAUUAAUGCCAGUGUGACACUGGCAUGAGUUUAAAAUUAAAUUGAAUUGGUUAAAUUAAAUCCCAUUUUAUUUUGUUUUGUUUUUAGUGAUUUUUUUUGUUCUUUCUAACAUAUGGUAUAUAUUCGUUCGAAAAAUUCAUUGCAAUCCUUAUUUCAAUAAUUGAAAAAAAAUUUAUCUCUUUUGAAAAAAAAAACAUUUUAUAUUUUCGGUUUCUCUUGUUAUGAUUUGUAAUAAAACGUUUUGUUAAUUUUAGAAUAUUUUGUGAUAUUGAAUUCACUUUAUUGUUCACCAGAGUAAAUGGAAUUGAUUUCUGCAACUAUUAAUGAUUUCGGUGACUCAAGGAAUAUUCCGCCAGAAGUUUGUCUCUUGCGGCAUCAACUUUCAUCUUUAGCUCGGCACGAAAGGAUUAUGAAAUUAAAGCUUAGGAAAUAUGCAUCAAAUUUCCAGUGUGACAUAAUAAACAAUGGAUAUGUUGUCGUGCAGAAGGCCAUAUUCAAGCAUGCAAGAUUUAAGCGGAAAAUUAUGAUUAUUCAUAAUAGAUACAAACAUGAUUUAAAAAGGAGAAUCAUUUUGAUGCUACAAAUUGUGAAUUUUUACACAAAAUUUAUGAAGUUGGACGACAUUAGAAGUGACAAUAAAUUGCUUCACUCAAACAGUAUGUGAUUCUUGAAAAUAUGAUUUUUAUUCCUACUAUACAAAUUACAAAAAUUAUUCCCAUAUAAUUUAAAUUAUUUAUGUUAAUAUAUAUUAACAAAUAUAUAUAUUUCUAACAUAUUUCAGUUGGGAAUUUCCUUCAAUCUCCUGGUAAAGCUGGAUAUGAUAAUAAUAAAACAUCAUUACAUAUAAAUCCAAAGAGUCAAACAAACAGAGGAAAGCGCCUUCGUCACACAGGUACGUAUAUAUAUUUAAAUUUAUCGAGCUUUAUUAGUUAUUCAUCAUGCUUGUAAUACUUGAAACUAAUAACUUAUUCAUUGCUUUUGGAACUUUAAAAAUAUACAGUUGAACAUGGACAACUAAAAAGAGCGUGUCUCUCUUUUGAUGAGAAUAUAGAUCAGUCCACAAGCUUUCCAUUGGAUGGUGUAACAUCAAAUAAUGGUACAUAUUUGCAUGAAACUACAUGUACAAUGAAAAUAUUAAUAUAUUUAGUAAUAUUUUUUCUUACCAUAUUCACUUAGACGAAAUAAGAUACUUUUUUACAAUAUUAUUAUUUGUUGAAUUUGAGAGUUCAUUACACAACGCCUUGGAAUUUUGGACCCCCUACAUACACAUGUCAAUAUUGUGGUGCCAUUUUAUGGUACGAGGAACGGAACAAGAAAACCAAAAAGGUCUCACAUCCCAAAUUCACAUUUUGUUGUAUGGAAGGUCGUGUGCAGAUUCCAUUCAUGAAAGAAACACCUCCUUUACUCAAAUAUCUUCUCGGGGCAGAUUCUGGACAAAAGGGUUCUAAAUUUCGAAAAAAUAUCAGGGCUUAUAACUCCAUGUUUGCUUUCACAUCUAUGGGAGGUCGAGUUGAUGCAUCAAUCAAUCGAUCAAAAGGUCCUUAUGUUUUCAGGAUGAGCGGUCAGAAUUAUCAUCACAUUGGUUCUUUGUUACCAGAAGUUGGGAAAAAACCACAGUUUGCUCAGCUCUAUAUCUAUGAUACUGAAAAUGAGAUAGACAACAGAAUCAACACUCUAUUAAAACAUGGAAUGAAGACAGAAAUUGAUCACGAAAUUCUUCAUGAACUAUCUAAAAUGUUGGACCAACAUAAUAAUUUGGUCAAAUCUUUUAGAAUGGCGAGGGAUAGAUACAAAACACAACCAGAAUCUACAUUUCGUUUACGACUCCUUAAUAGUAGAACAAGAGAUGGUCGUCGAUACAAUAUACCAACAGUUUCAGAAGUUGCAGGCUUAAUAGUUGGUGAUUUCAGUGAAGCAAACUUUCAACGCGAUGUUAUUAUAGAGCAUCGCACAAAGGGACUUCGGAGAAUCACAGAUUUGCAUCCAAGUUUCAUGCCCAUGACAUACCUGUUAAUAUAUCCUUAUGGCGAAGAUGGAUAUAGACCUGACAUAUCUUUAAGAGACGUAACUGAUAGCCCUUUUAAGAGGCAAAAGCUAACAAUGAGGCAAUAUUAUUGCUUUAGGUUGCAACAAAGAUUGAAUGAGGGACACACUCUACUUCAAGCUGGUAGACUAUUCCAACAAUAUAUAGUUGAUUGUUACAUGGCAAUUGAAGAAGAAAGAUUUCGUUGGAUCGGCAAUUGAAAAAGAAAGAUUUCGUUGGAUCCGGAAUAAUCAACAAAAACUUCGAUAAGACCUUUUCUCUGGUUUAAUGGAUGCUGUUCAUCGAGGUGAUUCUGAUUGUUCGAAAGUUGGAAAAUCGAUUAUUCUACCUUCAUCACACACGGGGGGACCACGAUAUAGAAUACAAAAUUAUCAAGAUGCUAUGGCAAUUUGUAAAUGGGCAGGAUAUCCUGAUUUAUUUCUUACUUUCACUUGCAACCCAAAGUGGCAAGAAAUAAAUAACAUGCUCCGAUUAGUUGGACAAAAGAAUGAUGACAAUCGAGUCGAUAUCAUAUGCAGAGUUUUCGAGAUAAAAUUAUUCCAACUAAUGCAAGAUUUGAAAAAAGAUCAACCGUUUGGAAAAAUAAUUGCAUGUAAGUUCACUUCAAAUUCGUAUCCAUAACAAAUCUAACUCAUUUGUUAUUGAAAAGUGCAGGGAAAAACAAUAAUUUCACAAUUGAAAUCAAUAUUUCUAACUUUUAAAUUUUACUCCAUUUUGUGGCAGGUCUAUAUACAAUUGAGUUUCAAAAAAGAGGCUUGCCCCAUGCACACAUAUUGCUUUUUUUGCAUCCAACAAUGAAAAAUCCUUCUGCAGACCAUAUUGAUAAAAUAAUAAGUGCAGAAAUCCCUGACUUAAAUGUUGAUCCUGAUGGUUAUAAUGCAGUUAACAAAUUUAUGAUUCAUGGACCGUGUGGAAAACACAAUUCUCACUCUCCAUGCAUGAUGCAAGACACGAAGCUUGCUGGCGAAUCUUCCAAUUUGACAUACAUUACAGAAAGCCAGCAGUUGAAAGAUUGCCGUUCCAUUUACCGGGAGAGCAUACAGUAAUAUUCGAAGAAUCCAAGUGCUUAGAAAAUGUGCUUACCAUACCUGGAAUAGAAAAAACAAAGUUCACAGAAUGGUUGCAGGCAAACAAGAAUUAUGAUGAUGCACGAGAGCUAACUUAUUCUAAUUUCCCUACAUGUUGGGUAUGGAAUUCAAAAGACAAAACUUGGACUAGGAGAAAAAAUGGCUUAGCAAUUAGAAGAAUUUACUUUGCACAUCCUUCAAGUGGAGAACGAUUUUAUAUGAGAAUGUUGCUCAAUUUUGUAAAAGGAAGCACUUCAUUUGAAAGUACUAGAACAGUAAAUGGAGUGACAUAUCCAACUUUUAAAGCUGCGUGCUAUGCUUUGGGAUUAUUAGACGAUGAUAAAGAAUGGAUCGACUGCUUGACUGAAGCUGCAAUAUGGGCGACUGGAAAUGAAUUAAGACAUCUUUUUGUCACGAUACUCAUUCAUUGUCAGGUUUCUGAUGCAUCCCAACUUUGGAAAUCUAAUUAUACUAGUUUAUCAUAAGGCAUAACUUCAUUGCAAAGGAAAAGAUUCAGAUUGAAAGAUCUUCAGUUAACCGAGCAACAAGUUGAAGCAUACACAUUGUUGGAGAUUGAAACUAUCAUGUUGAAAAUGGGAAAAAGUUUGAGAGACAUAGAUGGAAUGCCACUUCCUAAUUCUUCUUUGAUAAGAGAUUCAGGUAACCGAUUGGUCAAUGAAGAGCUUGAUUAUGAUCGUGAUCAAUUAAAGAAGUUGCAUGAGAAAUCAUUUACUGCUCUAAAUGCUUGCAAAAAAUCAGCCUAUGAAGCAAUAAUGCAUUCUGUUGACAAUGAAGAAGGGCGUUUAUUUUUUAUCAAUGGACACGGUGGUACUGGUAAAACAUUUUUGUGGAAUACAAUUAUUGCAAAGCUCAUAUCACAUUCUAAAAUAGUCUUGCCUGUUGCAACUUCAGGUAUAGCAGCUUUGUUAUUGCCUAAUGGUAGGACAGCUCAUUCGCGAUUUCAUAUUCCUUUGGAUGUGACAGCAGAGUCCACUUGUGAAAUCCGACAAGGCACCUUAUUAGCUGGACUUCUUAUGAAAACUUCUUUGAUCAUUUGGGAUGAAGCGCCUAUGGCACAUAAGUUCUGCUUUGAAGCUUUGGAUAGGACCUUGAGAGAUAUUCUAAGAACAAGGUAUGAAAAUAGUUCUAUCAAACCUUUUGGAGGACUUACAAUAGUAUGUGGUGGCGAUUUCCGACAAAUAUUGCCAGUUGUGCCAAAGGGGACAAGAGCAGACAUUGUUGAUGCUUCACUUAACUCAUCCUACUUGUGGCCAUUUUUCAAAAUUUAUGAGCUCAAACAAAAUAUGAGGCUCUAUAAUGGAAGCGUGAGUGGCUCUGAGGCUGCUAAAAUAGCUUCUUUUGACAAAUGGUUGUUGCAGAUUGGAGAUGGUUCAUUAUAUGAUGACAUUGAUAGAGAACCGAGUAACAAGUUGAAGCAUACACAUUGUUGGAGAUUGAAACUAUCAUGUUGAAAAUGGGAAAAAGUUUGAGAGACAUAGAUGGAAUGCCACUUCCUAAUUCUUCUUUGAUAAGAGAUUCAGGUAACCGAUUGGUCAAUGAAGAGCUUGAUUAUGAUCGUGAUCAAUUAAAGAAGUUGCAUGAGAAAUCGUUUGCUGCUCUAAAUGCUUGCCAAAAAUCAGCCUAUGAAGCAAUAAUGCAUUCUGUUGACAAUGAAGAAGGGCGUUUAUUUUUUAUCAAUGGACACGGUGGUACUGGUAAAACAUUUUUGUGGAAUACAAUUAUUGCAAAGCUCAGAUCACAUUCUAAAAUAGUCUUGCCUGUUGCAACUUCAGGUAUAGCAGCUUUGUUAUUGCCUAAUGGUAGGACAGCUCAUUCGCGAUUUCAUAUUCCUUUGGAUGUGACAGCAGAGUCCACUUGUGAAAUCCGACAAGGCACCUUAUUAGCUGGACUUCUUAUGAAAACUUCUUUGAUCAUUUGGGAUGAAGCGCCUAUGGCACAUAAGUUCUGCUUUGAAGCUUUGGAUAAGACCUUGAGAGAUAUUCUAAGAACAAGGUAUGAAAAUAGUUCUAUCAAACCUUUUGGAGGACUUACAAUAGUAUGUGGUGGCGAUUUCCGACAAAUAUUGCCAGUUGUGCCAAAGGGGACAAGAGCAGACAUUGUUGAUGCUUCACUUAACUCAUCCUACUUGUGGCCAUUUUUCAAAAUUUAUGAGCUCAAACAAAAUAUGAGGCUCUAUAAUGGAAGCGUGAGUGGCUCUGAGGCUGCUAAAAUAGCUUCUUUUGACAAAUGGUUGUUGCAGAUUGGAGAUGGUUCAUUAUAUGAUGACAUUGAUAGAGAUUUAGUUAAACUACCUUCUGAUAUCUGUAAGAAACCAUCAGAAAAUCUAAUGAAAUCAAUAGUCGACACUAUCUACCCAUCAAUUCAGCAUAACUACAGUGAUCCAACCUAUUUGAAAGAAAGAGCAAUAUUAAUGCCAAAAAAUGAAAUGGUGCAUGAAUUGAACGAGAUGAUUAUGAAUAUAAUACCUGGUCAAGGGAGAACCUAUUUUAGCUCAGACAGUAUAUGCAAAGCAAGCGCAAACACAAAUGAUGAAGAUGUUCUAUAUCCAACUGAAUUUUUGAAUAGUUUGAAAUUCAAUGGCAUCCAUAAUCAUGACAUACGACUUAAGGAAGGUGCUCCCGUAAUGCUUCUCAGAAAUCUAAAUCAAAUAGAAGGCCUAUGCAACGGCACAAGAUUAAUUGUCACUCGUCUUGGUAAAUGGUCCAUUAGAGGUGACAUCAUUUAUGGAACAAAUAUUGGACAAAAUGUCACAAUUCCAAGAAUUAUUAUGUCUCCUAAUGAAUCAAGAUGGCCAUUCAAGCUUAACAGACGACAACUUCCUUUAGCACCAUGUUUUGCCAUGACGAUCAACAAAAGCCAAGGACAAUCUCUUAAACAUGUUGGCUUGUAUCUCCCUAAGCAAGUAUUCACACAUGGUCAAUUAUAUGUCGCCGUGUCUCGAGUUACCACAAGAGAAGGAUUGACCAUACUAAAUGCCGAUCAAGAGGUAGAAGACCGAACCUUCAUAAAAAACAUUGUCUACAAAGAAGUAUUUCAAAAUAUUCACACAUCAGCUCACAAAAUCAAGGUAUCACAUUUUUAGAUUAUAUUUUAAAAUUUAAUUUAUACAUUGCAAGCUCUUACUUCACCCUAUAAUAAUGAUUUUUAUUAUGUGUUUUAAUUAUUCAGUAGACAAAUGGAUAAAUCAUAGGAACUAUCGAGACAACAAAAUGGUAGUUUGGCUGAGUUUUCCAAGCUGUUAUGGAGGAUUUAAUCGCCAAAGAACAUAGUACGUGAAGAAGCAUUCUUUUUUACAUCAACUAUUUCUCCUUUCAUUCUCUCUAAUCCAUGGACACAUGGUUUAUAUACAGAUAAAGAACAUUUUGGCACUAGGUGUUGCUGAUCCCCAUUGGAACUUGCCAUAGCUGCAAGCUUGAUAUAAACAACUGCUCACCUACGCAGCUACAAACGAUGCGAAAUAAAUUACAAAAGUCUUUACAUGUAUUUUACUUAUUUCUUUUAUAAUUCAACGCUAAGGAUACUCAAUUACAAAAUUUAAUUUGGAACUUAUCAACUACAAAAGGUAUAAAGUCUGUACACUUAGACUAUACACGUUAAUAUAUAUUUUUAAAGUUAACAAAAAAAUAGUUAACUUUCAUAAAUAACAUUAGUUUUAUAACGCUGGCUCAUUUAAAAAAAAUUAAUUUAUAUUUUUUAUCAGUUUUAUCGAGUGUAAAAAAAAAUUAAUAAUACUAAAUUUAUUUUCUAAAGCCGCGCGAAGCGCGGUUUCAUUUCCUAGUUACAUAAUAAAAAAGAGGUGAAUGAGAGAGAAUUUUCUUUAGGAAAAAUAGAGAUUUUGGCAACCUGCAAGAAUGACAUAAUUGCUCUACGAUAAAAUAGAACUUUUAAAUAUAAUAUAUUUUCUUGGAGGUUAUUUUGGAAUUCAAAAAAAUAAUUAUAAUUUUCAGAUAGCACCCUAAGCGCUACUUCAGAAAAGCAUCGAGCUAUGUGCCACGAACAAUCACCUUCAAUGCAUUUAAAUUGUAAUAAAUAUUAUAAUAAAAAAUUGCUAUAAGUAUUUCAAAAAGUAAUAUUGCCAAACACCCACGAAAAUUGUGUAUACUUUGAGGUCAAAGGUCUUAAAAUAAAAGGAAAUUAUCCACGUUUACCUAUUUAUUUUAUUUUAAAAAAAAUAUAUAAAUAUUUUUUUUUAGCAUGUCACUUGAAGUUUAUUUUUUAUUGCAUUCAUCUACUUUUAUCUAACUGCAAUUAGAAUGUUGCUGAUGUUAGAGGGGUAAAAUUGAUAUUUCAUUUGAAUAAUUAAAAUUAUGUUGUAUUAUGCUAAUUUUUUUUAAAAAAGAAUAAAACGACGUCAUUUAACGUGAUAUGAAAAUUAAAAAAAAAAUUGAUGUUGUUUAACUCAAUUGAAAAAGAAAAAUAAAUACAAAUUUUCUAAAUCUAACAAGUAAGAAAUACUAUUUUCCUCUAAUUUCUGGUACCUACCUUUGCGCUUAAUUCUAUUGCUUGAAAAAAUUUAAAUUCAGUUAAUUUAUCUUUAAUUUUUAUUUAUUUUGAGUUAAAUUAUAAUUUUAAAAGGUAAAAAUAUCAUUUCAUUAACAGUCUAUUAAAUCAACUAACGGAGAUCACACAGAAGUGAACGAAUACAAUAAAAAAUAAAUUUUAAGUAGUGUGCUGAAAAUUUUUCUAAAAUAAAAGUUUUCCUGUACGUGACUAGCAUUUCCGGUUCUUUUUGGGUUCGUAGUUGAUCAUAUGUUGACCAUUAGAAUCUCAUUAUCCAAUCCAAGCAAAUUACUUCUUGGAAAAGGGCACACCUUUGUGAGGUAGCGGGGAAGGUCGUAACUGUAAAGCAGAGAAGGAAUCAGAAAAGAAAAAUGGUAGUGCCAUCGUGUGGGGUCUUUCUUUCUUUCUUUCUUCUUUUUAAAUUGUAUUAAUGAUGCUGAUAAACAACUGGCAGUUAAACAAAUUGUGCCAUUGUACACGUUAUUAUACGCGACGAGUUAUAUGUUAUGAUUUUAUUGGUAGGUGUUCUCAAUUUAUCAAUAAAAUAUAUCGUCCAGGGUAACGUAUUUCACGGUGCGUACUUAAUUACUCUUAAAACGAUAUAAUUUUAACAUCUGUUGUUUAUUAUUAUUUUUUCAAUUAAUCUGUAAAAUCAUAUCGUAGCGAGAGAAAAAAAGUCGGGCCGUGGGGGAUAACAUGACGUGUCAAUGCUUUUGCCUUUAUAAAUAAUAAUAACAUAAUAUGAUCGCCCUCUCACCCUUUGCAUUUCGCAGUUGCAGACCAAACCGAUCGUCACCUAUAGCUCUUCCUCUGUCUCUUGUGUGUUGAAUAAGAAAUGGACAGUCUCGUGGGGUUCAGAUUCAAGCCUACUAACGAAGAAAUCAUUCGUCUACUGAAGAAGAAGAGGCUGGACCCUGAUUUCUCUGUCCAUACCAUCAAAGAAAUUGAUUUCUACAGCUUUGAUCCCUGGGAUCUACCCCGUAAGUAUCACCCAACAAGCAAUCAUACGAUGCCGUUUAGGUCUGUUAAGUGAAAUUGAUUCAGAACUAAUGGAUGACUGAAUUGUUUUGAUGCAGGGCAUUCUGAGAUUCAGUGUGAGGAAAAAGUGUGGUACUUUUACUGUGAGCGUUAUUACAAGAGCGCCAAGAGUAAACAGGCGCAUAGAAGAACAAAGUCAGGAUACUGGAAAGUCACUGGGAAAGGUUCUGACAUCAAGCGCAAAAACAGUACUGAGGUAAUUGGUACCAAAAAGAUUUUGCCUUUUUGCCCCCGUCGUUCUACUUCCAAGAAAGCUAAGACUGAGUGGGUUAUGCACGAGAUAUCUGUUGAGGACGACCCUCUUUAUAAGGUAUGAGUUUCGUUUUGAGCUUCAAUUCUGACUUAUUAUGUGUCCUGCUUUGUGAUGAAUUACAUAUGUAUCUAUUGAUAAUACAGCGGGCCGUAUGGGAAAAAAAAUUUAUUCUAUUUUUGCUUUUAAUUUGUGCAGAAGGACUUUGUUGUGUGUCGCCUAGAAAGAAAACGGGAUGGCGAGCUUUCUACUUCAACUAGUGUUGAAGAUCAAUCAAGUCCAGAUUUGACUUCUUGUUCUACCAUCAUCCAUGAUGUUGGAGAACAGAUUUUUUGGGAAUCUGUUCUACCACCUGAUCAACUUUUGGUUUCUGAUAGAAAUCAUGUUGCAGAAAAUACUCCUUUGGUCUCUCCAGCAAGUGACGAUUCGAUUUCUGGAAUUGGAAAUCGUGCUGCAGAACAUACUAGUUUGGGUUCUGAAGUACUGGCAACUAACCAUUUGAUUUCUCAUUCUGGAAAUCGUGUUGCAGGAAAUACUUCCCAAGGAUCCUUACUACCACUAAAUCAAAAUUUGGUUUCUAAUGGAAAUCAUGUUGCAGAAAAUGCUCUUUUGGUCUCUCCAGUUCCACCAAGUGACCAUUUGAUUUCUUGUUCUAGAAAUCAUGUUGCAGAAAAUAAUUCCCCAGAAUGGCAGCUAGUAUGGAAUGACAUUUUGGAGUCACCAAUACUACCAAAUCAGCUUUGGGGUUCUUAUUCUACUAACAAUGUAGAAAAUUCUUUCGAGGCAGAACCUCGACUGCUUGCUGAAUUCAAUCCACAUGGUGGCUAUAAUUGGCUGAAUUAUGGCUCCCUCUCGCCAUCGCAGUCACCAAUUUUUCCAGCACUAGAAGGCUCUAGUUAUGGCUGUGAUUCAUUGAAUUCUCAAUGCAGCAUGGAGCGUGUAGAUCUUUUUGCCUGAUCAAUUCGUGGAGGGCUUUAUACUCUCAUGAAGAAACUGGACAAACCACCCCGGACUUCAACUCAUCAAAGUCAGAUGGAUGAGUUUUUGUGGAGGAUAAGUAGUGAUAAGGACACUGAAACCUUCAACGCUUGGGUAAAUGAACUCUUUCUGAGAAUUAAUACUACUUCAGUUGUAUAUGUUAACAACAAUCAAAUCCUCUUGGAGGAUUUUAUAAUAUUAUUACUGUUGUGAUAUUGCUUCACUCAUGGUUUAUUGUAUUCCAAACAUAUUACUCUUUGAGAGCGGUUAUUUAGAGCACUUGGGACUCUCGAGUUGCUCUAUCAUAUUAUGUAAUUAUCUCUAUGAAAGUGUAUGGCUGACUUCUGGAAAAGUUGAUCAGCUAUUGUUAAAUGGGGAAUGCUUAUACAAAACAAGAGCUGCAGAGAGACUUGAUAGAUCUAAUGGAAGAUCAUCCACAAGAUGAUUUUUAAGGCUAGCAAGGGGAGAUGCUGAGCAUGCUAUUAAUCUAUGUGAUCUGUUUGACACCUGCCAAAUAGGUCAGAAAUAAAACCCAGAAUCUACAAAAUUUUCAGCCUCCUUUGAUAGGAAGGGGUGAAGUCCAACGAUCCUCUUAAUUAAACAUGUUUACACAUUAAAAUAAAUAAAUAUAUAUCUGCUGUACCGUACAUCCGCCUUGGCCGUACAGCAGACGACCCGGCCAAUUAAGGCCAGGAGCGCAUCACCGGCAGAAGGGACGAGACGGCCGGUGCACACCGCGAGGCGGACUUAUUAGCCCGGCCCUUUUUGGUGCAUUGAGCUCGAGGAAUCAAGCUCUAAGAUCUUAGGCCUCAAAGCCCAAUUACGAUUCAAUCAAAAUCAUUAUCCAAUUCUUCGAUCUCAUUUUAUUUUUAUGCAUUUUGAUCAGUUAUUCAGUUAAGUAAAUUAAAAAUAAAUGUUUUGAUUAAUUCGAAUUGAAUACUAUAAACUAAUAAAUAAAACCUUUUAAAGUUAUACGAAUGGAAAUUCUAUGGUAUAUAUCGAAUUUAAUAUUAUUAUCAAUAAUUAUUUCGUUUAUUAAUAAUGAUGAAAUCAAUACGUGAAAAUAUUACAUCCAAGUCCAAUCAUAUACGUGAUAGGGCACCUAACAAUUAGAAUAAUUAUUGUUUUUUCAGAGUUCCUAUUUUAGACUUCUUCGGUAUCUUUAUGUUAAGGUUAAGGGUUUUUUUUCCCCAAAAAAAAAAGAGCUCCUACCUGAAGAGGUCGAUUCGCCAUCUACUCAUCAAAUAUUUUAAUUUUUAAUAUUUCUGAGUUAUAUUGAAUUAGAUAAUAAAUUUUUCUCUGGAUUUUUUUUUUCAAAAUUCCUUAUCAAUGUAUGAAUUGUUCUGCUGUACGGCCAAGGCGGAUGUACGGUACAGCAGAUAUAUAUAUAUAUAUAUAUAUAUACUGUCCUCAAUAUGUAAAUAAUUAAUGCCACAAAAAUAAACGUUAGGCAAGUAAUUAUCAAAGGGAAUAUUAUCACAUGCAUUUAAAAAAAAAAAAAAAAAGAGAGAUCACAUUGUUAAAUCUAUUAUAUAACCUCCAUAAAUUUAUAGACUCAUGAAAUUUCAGAUUUUACAUUGAACUGAGCGCUUGGUAGAAAAUCUAUCUUUGGAUUUUCUAGGCCAAUACACAAGAGAAGAAGAGGUUGCUGAAAAGCAAUUUCUCCAAAGCAAGUGCUGUGAUGUCUGUAAGAUGGAAGAGUACUACCUAGAUCAGGAAAGGUUGUACUAUAUCUUCGACAAACAGACUGAUACCAUCCACAGGACGUUCGUGCUAAACAUGCCAGGCCCAGUAGCAGAAAUGAUGGAGGCUAUUUUAUAAACUGUGAAUUUGUUGAUCUAGACAUUUACAUUAAACUCAAUCAAGUUGAAGUCAUAAGUUUAUUUCUCUUUAAAUAAAUAAAUGUGCAUAAAGAAAUAAAUAUUUACAAAUGUAUCCUAAAUAUUAGUGGGUAAAAUAAGCAGUGAAGAAUGUGGAGCUGCUCCGUUGAGUGGAAUUUCACAAUAUAUAUAUAUAUAUAUCAAAUUUUCGCUCAAGUUUUUCAUUUACCCCCGGUAAAAUUUAUAAUUUGUUCUUGUUGGCUUUAAAAAUAACGAAAAAAUAUAUAUACAAAAUUAUAUUUUAAUCAUCAAAACCAGAGCAUUAAGCUCAAAAUUAAAUAUAAGCACUUAGAAAAAAUUAAAAUUCCUAGCUAAAUAACAUCUGCCCGCACCUCUGGCUCUUCCACCCUGUCUGAAGUUAUGUAUAUCAUCUCCGUUUUUACUGUUCAUCAAUGAAAUUAAAAUAAUGAGACUACAGACGAAUAGAUUGAAAGAAGUAGAAGCUUCUAGAUUUUUCUUGAAGUAGUAGAAGAUUCCAGAAUUCCCCUUAGUCAAAUAACCUCAUAAUAAAUACUAUGAUAAUGUUAACGGUUUUUUUGUUAUUAUUUUUUAGUUAUUGGUAACCCCAUGUACACAUGUUUUUUCAUAAUUUUUAUAAUUAACAAUUACUCUAUAUAUAGUUUUAACGGUUAUUCUUUUGCCUUUUAUACUAUUCUUUUAGAUAAAUAUCAAGAAAGUGGACUAAAUACUCACAAAAUAUUGAUAAAAUAAAUUAUAAUAAUCUGUGGUUUUAUAAUAUGGUAAUCACUAUAUUAUGUUGUUUUUUUGGAAUUAAUUUGUGUGUGAGGUUGAAAUGGUUGUGCAAUUGAAUUGUGUUUUUUUUUUAAUUUAAUCGCAUUGUGUGUUUUUAAAGUUGGAUUAUGGAAUUGAAUUUAAAAAAUUAUUCCUAUUAAUUGGUUGUUUUGUGAAUUAUUUGUGAUUAAUUAUAUUGUACAUUUUGCCUUUGUGUUGUUAAUUAUUUUAAAUUAGAAAAGAUAUUAGUAAAUUUGAGUUGCCUAAAUUAUUGAAUUAAGGUGCAUGUAUAGAAGAAAACAUUAAAAUAAUAUGAAUAUAAAACAAAAAAUUAAAAAAUAAUUCAAUAUUAAAAUAAUAUAAAAAUUAUUUUAGUAGGGUCGGACUCGAUCCGACCCUAACUAUAAAAUAAUCGGGCUCAUUUAGGGUUGGGUGUUUAAAAUUUUUUGAUCGGACCAAGCCCUAGCCCACCCGACCUUUUGCCAUUCCUAAAUGGCAUCCAAUAAAUAGCGCCCACAAGGUGAACGUACGUGGAGCUUAAGACUUUUAACGGUAUAAACACUUGCUACUUUAUCCCUUUAACAGGAAGGAGACGGCGGAAGAAAACAAAAGAAGCAGAAUAUUCUAAAGUAUUAGGCUAGCUGGGGCAACUGACUGCUUCUCAAGGAAGGGGACACGCGUCCUUGUUCUCCAUCUUCACUUCACUACUUCGCAAAGAAGGAGACAACUCUUUAGUGGAAAGCUGGCUGUAUGAUGUCAAAGGAAACGGAUCUCUCCUUAACGCCGUCACAGGAAAAUUCAAAAUUCUCACGCGGUUAAUCACUCCAACUCAGCCCAGAUACCGAUCAUCACCAAGUUUGUGUGUAUAAAAAUAAAUUGGUCACCCCCUCUACUCUGUAAAUACGGGAAAUUUUUCAUAUGAAAACAGAAUCGGAGAGAGAGUUACCUAAGGCUCUAGCACUUCAAGUCAGAGAAGGGAUAUCGUGUAAGAUGAAGAAAUUACCAUCAAUCUUCUGAGCAAGACGAGUCUUGACCGUGAUUUCUCUGUCCAAGCAGUUAACGAAGUUGCUAUAUACAACUUCGAGCCUUUUCAAUGCUAGGUAAGUAUCAUCAGAUACCCAUCAAUCUUGAUGCAAUUGCUUUUGUUUCUAGCAGAGGGUAUUAGAAACACAUUUUGAAUAAAAGGGUUCCUUUUCCUCUGUGGUCACAACUUCAGGUACAAGCGUAGCAUCUAGCAAUUUAUCAUAUUACAUGCAAUUUCAGAAAUCAUGUUGCAGAAAAUGGCUUCUGAAAGGUGAGAGAAAGAGCCUGCCUUAUGGGCUGUUUCAAUAUCAAGUUAUCCAUGUUGAGUAUUUCAUUAGGUAUUAAAAAUAAAUACUCUGGCAUUUUAUUUCAGUUCGGACCUCAGCAACUACCAAAUCACAAAAUGUGCCUUUGUGAUUCUAUAAAAAUCAUGUUGCAGAAAAUACUGUUCAAGGGGUGAGGAGGAGUCGAAGGACAACUUAUACGCUAUUAUCAAUUCCUCAAUGUUGUGUAUAAGCAAUACAAACA
rnacentral:lncRNA from 1 species